rnacentral:rRNA from 1 species
CUCGAUCGCUUACCGACGGUGGUAGAGCACUGGAUCCGUGCGGGGGCCUCACCGCCUACCAACCGAAACCAAACUCCGAAUGCCGUCGGUCCCGAGAUCGGGAGUCAGAACAUGUGGGCUAAGCCGUGUGUUCGAGAGGGAAACAGCCCAGACCGCCUGCUAAGGUCCCCAAAUCAACGCUGAGUGGCAAAGGAUGUGCGUUUGCCUAGACAACCAGGAUGUUGGCUUAGAAGCAGCCAUGCAUUUAAAGAGUGCGUAACAGCUCACUGGUCAAGUGGACAUGCGCCGACAAUACACGGGGCUAAGCGUUGUACCGAAGCAGCGGACUGUUUUAUCAGUGGUAGGGGAGCUUUCCAUGCCGGGGCGAAGCCGACGGGCGACCGUCGGUGGACUGCAUGGAAGUGAGAAUGCUGGCAUGAGUAACGAGAGAGGGGCGAGAAACCCCUCCGCCGUAAGCCUAAGGGUUCCUGGGCAAGGCUAAUCCCCCCAGGGUCAGUCGGGAGCUAAGGCGAGGCCGACAGGCGUAGCCGAUGCACAACAGGCGGACAUUCCUGUACCACCGCGGAGCGUUACUACGACGGGGUGACGGAGAAGGGUAGCCGGGCGGGGUUCUGGACGUCCCCGUGAAAGCGCGUAGGCCGCAGGGCAGGCAAAUCCGCCCUGCAGCAGGCCGAGACGUUAGACGAAGCUUCAUGUGAAGCCGGCGAGCCCAUGCUUCCGAGAAAAACCUCUAAGGAGCGAGGCGGUGCCCGUACCAAAACCGACACAGGUAGGCGGGUAGAGCAUACCAAGGCGAUCGGGAGAACCAUGGUUAAGGAACUCGGCAUACUGACUCCGUAACUUCGGGAGAAGGAGUGCCCCCGCCUGUGAGGUCCCACGCGGACGGAGCGGGAGGGGGUCGCAGCGAAACGGCCCAAGCGACUGUUUACCAAAAACACAGGACUCUGCAGAAGCCGCAAGGCGACGUAUAGGGUCUGACGCCUGCCCGGUGCCGGAAGGUCACGCGGAGGAGUUAGCCGAUUCGGCGAAGCCCCGAAGCCAAGCCCCGGUAAACGGCGGCCGUAACUAUAACGGUCCUAAGGUAGCGAAAUUCCUUGUCGGGUAAGUUCCGACCUGCACGAAUGGCGUAACGACUUGGGCGCUGUCUCAACCAUGGACCCGGUGAAAUUGUAUUGGUCGUGAAGAUGCGACUUACCCGCGGAAGGACGGAAAGACCCCGUGAACCUUCACUGCAGCUUGGCAUUGGCCGCUGGUCCCGCGUGUAGAGGAUAGGCAGGAGGCAUCGAUCCGGAGGCGCCAGCCCCCGGGGAGCCGCCCUUGGAAUACUGCCCUCGCGCGACCGGCGUCCUAACCCGAGGCCGUCAACCGGCUCGGGGACCGUGCCAGGCGGGCAGUUUGACUGGGGCGGUCGCCUCCUAAAGGGUAACGGAGGCGCGCGAAGGUCCGCUCGGGACGGUCGGCAACCGUCCUUUUGAAUGCAAGAGUACAAGCGGGCUUGACUGCGAGGCCCACAAGCCGAGCAGGUGCGAAAGCAGGCUCUAGUGAUCCGGCGGCCCCGAGUGGGUGGGCCGUCGCUCAACGGAUAAAAGGUACUCCGGGGAUAACAGGCUGAUCUUGCCCAAGAGUCCACAUCGACGGCAAGGUUUGGCACCUCGAUGUCGGCUCAUCGCAUCCUGGGGCUGGAGCAGGUCCCAAGGGUACGGCUGUUCGCCGUUUAAAGCGGUACGCGAGCUGGGUUCAGAACGUCGUGAGACAGUUCGGUCCCUAUCCUCCGUGGGCGCAGGAGAAUCGAUGGAGGCUGCCCCCAGUACGAGAGGACCGGGGUGGACGCACCUCCGGUGAACCGGUUGUCGACCAACGGCACGGCCGGGUAGCCGCGUGCGGCGCGGAUAACCGCUGAAGGCAUCUAAGCGGGAAGCCGUUCCAGGGAUUAGUUCUCCUUCCGGUAAGGGCCCAGGUAGACUACCUGGUCGAUAGACGGCAGGUGCAAGGCUGGCGACAGCCUCAGCCGAGCCGCACUAAUCGCCCGAGCUCUUCCGGAA